GCCUUGCAGGAAAGCAGCUACCGAAAGAUAUCCACCUGCGCCCAAUCCACGUUAAAUGCAUAACAUUCGAUUUUCUUGAGUUUAACUCGUGAAAUUCUACAAGAUUUUCGACGUUCAACAAGGCCUUCGUAAAUUGAUGCCAAUGUAUAUCCCUGCUUGGGCUAUUCAAAGAUUUUUCGAGGUUAAGCUAUCCCCGGCCGGAAGAUGCGUGCUAUCAUGCCAAAAGACAUCCAGCUGGUUCGACGAGUCCAUGGUGCGAUUUCUGAAACUAACUUGGAUCACGAUUGUGCUCAGGCAGAAGUUAUUUCUUUCAAAAUCUGCAGAAGAUGUCGAUGGGGCAAGGACGACCAGUGCUAAGGAAGAAUCCACAUUCUUACCUCAAUUUAAUGCUUGAUAAAUCGGGGCAAUCAUUUUGGUUCCUGGAAGAUCAUCAAAGCUGAUUCAAUCGAACGACACCAAACUACAUAAAAUGAUUUAUUUGACCAUAAACAACCGUCAUGUAGCAUUUCCGUAGACACCAAUGAGCAAAGCGAUGAGUGCAUGCAUUUGGUGUAACUGUUAGAGAUGUCUUCAAGCUUCGAAAAACUAAGCGCUAGAAUUUCAUUGCUCCAUCGAGUAAAAUAUGGCAUUUGAAAGAAACCUAGAACAACGCCUGCUGGUAUGUAUGCAUCAUAACAGCGAACCGGAGAAGGAGCACUUGGAAGUUGAU